GGGUCAGUAGGUUGGUCGUGCCACCGGUACGUACUGGUCUCACUGAUUCCUCCUUCCUGAAGAACCGUAAUGCCAUUAAUUUGGUGUUGCGGGGAAACAGGACUGUUACUUUGAAAAAAUUAGAGUUUAUAAAGCAAGCUAACGCUUGAAUACAUUAUCAUGGAAUAAUGAAAUAGGACGAUCGAUCCUAUUUUGUUGGUUUCUAGGAUUGACGUA
rnacentral:rRNA from 1 species